GAUUCCAUGUUGCUGGACAGGUCAUCGAUCUCCAUCUUAAAUUCGCUCUUCUCCUUCUCCAGCUUCUGUUUCACACGCUGGAGGUUGUCGAUCUGCUCCCCAAGCUCAGCCACACUGUCGGCGUGCUUCUUGCGCAGGGCGGCGGCGGUGGCCUCGUGCUGCAGGGUGGACUCCUCAAGGUCACGGCGAAGUUUCUGGAACUCGGCCUCCCUCUUCUUGUUCAUCUCAAUCUGGGCGGAGGUGGCACCACCGGCUUCCUCCAGCCUCUCGCUGAUCUCCUCCAGCUCCCUGGACAGGUCGGCUCUCUGCUUUUCGGUUUUUGCUCUUGCAGCUCGUUCCGCCUCGAUUUCUUCCUCAAGCUCCUCGAUGCCAGCCUGCAGUUCC